ACUUAAGCAAAAAAAAUAACAAAAAUAACAAAACUGACCCAAAACCAAAACCCCCUCUCGAUAGCGCCUCACUCUCGACCUCACCUCACUCUCAAGUCUCAACAGACCCAAAACCAAAACCCUCACUCUCUAGCCAAAACCCUCAUUCUCUCUCUAACCAAUCUCAUCUCUCUGCGUGAGAUUGUUGACCGCGAAUAGGAUUGAGCUGGUGAAGUUGUUAGAACUGAGAUCGAGCCGAUUCAGCCUCUCCAGAUCGAGCCAAUUCCCUUGGAGGGAAGCACUAUUGGCGAAAUCUGCGAAAACUCAUAGCUCGGAGCUGACUCAGCCGGCCGAGCGUGUUGGGUGGAAUCAGACCCACAAGCCCAACACCGGGAAGGUGAAGCGAGUACACAUAUAGCUGGUUCCCGUCGUUGUCAGAGCUCCAGGUUUGAAGAAGCUGAGCUAUGGCGAGAUUACGACCAUUCAGUUCGAGUACUUGGGAAGAUAAGGGUUCGUGCCUCUGGUCAUUGAAAUGGGUCAUUCAGAUUUGUGGCUAGGCUUCUCUAAAUCUUUAUCCGCUUCGCAAUCUCUCUAUUAGAGUUGGAUCUAGAGAUACUUCGCAUUGUUUUCAGAUCUGUGUUGCCUCAAACACUAGUCUCCUUGCAGCAACUUCUGGAAUAGUGAAACCUUGGAACUCGCCUUCUGUUAAAAUGGGAUUUCUUAGGUAUCUCUCGAUGCUCAAGAGACGUGCCACUGGAUACAAGAAUAAGGUGUGGAGAAAGAAGCUAAAUGGCUGAUGUUUUCCUGUGGAGGGAUAAGAAGCUAUCAGGAGGUUGAUAAUUGCACAAUGUUAGUCUUAAUUAGUUUUGUUAGUUUAGCAAGAUUGAUACCUGCAUAUACUAAAAGUAUCAGCAAUUCAGCAUUGCAGCAGCUCAUCUCAAGAGAAACAAAUCCCCUCCAAAGUCAAAGUUGGAUUGCCACUGGUGUUCAAGUCAGGCUUUGACAAAGCUAACCGUACAUCCUCAAAAUCAUUCCGGGGCCCUGGCAUGGCUGAAGGAUUAAAGAUCCUUAAGAAGGUUAAAAUAGCUUUUGACCUCCCUAUAGUUACAAAUGUACACGAGUUUAUACAGUGCGAAGAAGUUGGCAAAUUAAGUUGCAGAUAUCAUUCAGAUUCCUGCAUUUUUAUGCUGUCAGGUUAAGUUUAUAUUGAACCCUGUGUACUUUAUCAUGCUCCACCUGCUUUGACGCUCUUUGGUUUUGCUAUUGCAUGCUCUUUCCACACUUUUUGUCUUUUCAAUUUCUAUUUCAAUUCCUUUUCUUUCACUCCAACUCUUACAUUUCAUUCAAUUAGUUCAUAAUUCUAUGCCUUACCUCUUGCUUCUUGGGGUCCUACACUUCAAUUCUUUGUCUGUUGUCAGUUAAUGUAACCUUUUCAUGUGUAGCCACUUUUAUGCUCAGCACGUGUAUAUGUCACUCCUCUAUGCAGUAAUUUGCUUUUGAUUUGCUUCUCAAAAGAGUAAAAUUUCCUAAUUGUGAUUGUUAUUCAUUGUCCUUCUGUUCCACUAGAAGAGUUGGACAAUCCUUGGUUGCUAAAGCUGGAGCUCUCUCUGCCAAAAGUUACUCUUUGAAGGUGUGCUAAUGGCUCUUUGUGUUUCGGAUCAUAAAGUUAUAACAUUGUCAAGUUUCCAUACUCGCUCAGCUGUAUGGUAGACUUAGCAGGAAAAGAUCGCAUUGCGAAGGUUAGGUGUCAGGAAGUGUUUAUAUGCAAUAAAGCAAGGUUUUGUUCCAAUGAGGCCAUGAGAGCAGCAGAGCUUGCAAAGCUAGACUCCUUAAGUAAAUUUCUGGAUGUAUAUUUCUAGGAGAGUACUAUUAGACGUACUCCUUUCGUAUAUAAAAGAUUAGCUUUGCACAAUCUAUUUUGAUGCAUGAUGUAGAUGAUAACAUUUUCUAUAUAUUGAUCAUUUACUGUUAAUUUGGUCAUUUUUGAUUCCGCUUCCA